rnacentral:rRNA from 1 species
AACGAACGCUGGCGGCAGGCUUAACACAUGCAAGUCGAACGCCCCGCAAGGGGAGUGGCAGACGGGUGAGUAACGCGUGGGAACGUACCCUUUACUACGGAAUAGCUCCGGGAAACUGGAAUUAAUACCGUAUGUGCCCUUCGGGGGAAAGAUUUAUCGGUAAAGGAUCAGCCCGCGUUGGAUGAGCUAGUUGGUGGGGUAAAGGCCUACCAAGGCGACGAUCCAUAGCUGGUCUGAGAGGAUGAUCAGCCACAUUGGGACUGAGACACGGCCCAAACUCCUACGGGAGGCAGCAGUGGGGAAUAUUGGACAAUGGGCGCAAGCCUGAUCCAGCCAUGCCGCGUGAGUGAUGAAGGUCUUAGGAUUGUAAAGCUCUUUCACCGGGGAAGAUAAUGACGGUACCCGGAGAAGAAGCCCCGGCUAACUUCGUGCCAGCCGCCGCCGUAA